UCGGUCGUGGAUUGUGGAGGCCCCAGCAGGCCAGGGGCCGUCUCACACCAGGGGCCAGCUCCACUCCCCACAACUGAGACCCCAGGGGGCAUUGGGAAGGUGACCCCCAUCCAGACCUUGCAGGGAGCAGGACGGGGCUGUGGAAGGGAUUCAGGAGCUGAGGACAACUGAGGUCUCUCUACCAGACAGAUGCAGCGUCCUCCUGGCCCCUGAAGUUCAGCCGCUGGGGCCCCGUCUCAGAGCUCUCAGCACUGGGAAGCCACCAGAUCUCCGGAUGGGGGAUAUGCAACCUACAGAGCCGAAUCCCGAGGUGCUAGGGACCCGCUCAGCACCUACAACUCUCACUGAGCUCCAGCUGGUGGGGCCCACCAACUCGCAUAGGAAUUGCUGCACCAGUGGGGAUCUGGUCCUGGAUCAGGCCCAAGAACUGGCUUGAUCCCCUAGGAAAAGGUCCCUGCAGUACUGCGACCUGCCAACCACCUUUGGCUGAGAAGAGAGACACCUUCCAUGGAAGAGAAGGCACAGAGUCAGCCCACCGCCCCCCGGCUCCAGCCGGUCAGUCAAGGCAUCUUUCCCCAUCCUUCCAGCCAGCCUCAGGGCGGUAAGCCCCUAGCCAGGACACAGACCUGCAGGGAGCAGCAGAUACCAGAGCUGUGCUAGGCAGAGAUAACUCCAGCAACAGGGAUAGUGGCCUCCCCCUCUGCCGCCAUGCUGACUGCUCUGACACCCCUUGCUGGGUCAGUGCCCUGCCCUACCGUGGUGGCUCCCGUUAGCAUCCCUCUGCUCGAGGCCCCAUUCCCAGGCCUUGAUUAGGCCAGACACGACCAUCAUGAUCAAUAGUCUGACCUGCACGUCGCAGGCCAUAGACCCUCCCUGCUCCUGCAACACACCCCUAGCUUCCAGCUGAGUUACUGAGGUCCUCAAAAUAGAUCAGGUUACAGAGGAUCCCGUGUCAUUACAUGCAUUCCCCAAUGAGGCCUGAGGGUCAGGACCAGCCUUAGAGGAGCUCCCCAGCUAAGCAGCAUCAGGCCUGGUUGAGCCU